UUGCUAUAUCAAAAAUAAAUGAAUAAAUAAAAAAUAAUGAAUACUAAUGCCACAGGACGACACAAGAAAACAAAUUCACAUGAAAUGGGUGAACGCAAUGAUCAUACAUGACAGAAUGAAGAAGUAAAAAAGGAAAACUGACACCGAUGAUGGAGUUUAAGACGAGGAACGACAGAGGCGACCCAGUCAUCCCUUGCUGUGCAAAAGCUUCAAUGACAGCCUUAAAUGGAACGGACCUUCAUGCCUGGCCACUGGAAAGAUGGAGAACGGAGGCCGAAGCCAUCGACACCGGAACGGCUAAGGAAAAAGUGGACAGUAACUGUAUUUAUCUGAGUUAGCGAAGGAGCACAUUAAAAUCAGCGAGCAUUAAUCAAAUGGGAUGAGACGGAGGCAGGAAGAAGAGGUCAGAGUCCCAUGGAAGGAGGAUGCUGGGAAAAAUCUAAUGAAACCAUAUAAAGCCAAAGGAUGCGGAAGG